rnacentral:pre_miRNA from 1 species
CUAGUACUCCCCCCGUCCCAUGUUAAGUGCCGAAAUAUUACACGCAUCUAGAAGCUUUUUAGGUAUAGAUGCAUCUAUAUUUGGGCAAAUUUGAGUCACUUAAUAUGGGAUGGAGGGAGUAUAAU